rnacentral:rRNA from 1 species
UACGGGGGGGGCAAGCGUUAUCCGGAUUUACUGGGCGUAAAGCGCGUUCAGGCGGUUUGGCAAGUCGGGCAUGAAAUCUCUCGGCUCAACCGGGAGAGGUUGUCCGAUACUUCCAGACUUGAGGGCAGUAGAGGGUGGUGGAAUUCCGGGUGUAGUGGUGAAAUGCGUAGAUAUCCGGAGGAACACCAGUGGCGAAAGCGGCCACCUGGACUGCACCUGACGCUGACACGCGAAAGCUAGGGGAGCGAACGGG